AAUACCCGAUGGCAUAGUUCUUCCGCAUGGUAGAACUAUUAAAGAAUUUCGGUCAUCGAUGGGGAUGCGUUCCAUUAGCUUGUUGGCGGGGUAACGGCCCACCAAGGCAUCGAUGGAUAGGGGUUCUGAGAGGAAGGUCCCCCACAUUGGAACUGAGACACGGUCCAAACUCCUACGGGAGGCAGCAGUGAGGAAUAUUGGUCAAUGGGCGCUAGCCUGAACCAGCCAAGUAGCGUGAAGGAUGACUGCCCUAUGGGUUGUAAACUUCUUUUAUAUGGGAAUAAAGUGCAGUAUGUAUACUGCUUUGCAUGUACCUUAUGAAUGAGGAUCGGCUAACUCCGUGCCAGCAGCCGCGGUAAUACGGAGGAUCCGAGCGUUAUCCGGAUUUAUUGGGUUUAAAGGGAGCGUAGGCGGGUUGUUAAGUCAGUUGUGAAAGUUUGCGGCUCAACCGUAAAAUUGCAGUUGAUACUGGCAUCCUUGAGUACAGUAGAGGUAGGCGGAAUUCGUGGUGUAGCGGUGAAAUGCUUAGAUAUCACGAAGAACUCCGAUUGCGAAGGCAGCCUGCUGGACUGUAACUGACGCUGAUGCUCGAAAGUGUGGGUAUCAAACAGGAUUAGAUACCCUGGUAGUCCACACAGUAAACGAUGAAUACUCGCUGUUUGCGAUAUACAGUAAGCGGCCAAGC
rnacentral:rRNA from 1 species